CUCAUGCACAGUGCUAGCUAAACAUAAUCAGUGUUUAAUUCCAUAUGAUCUAUGACUUAAUUUUUAAUUAAGUUAAUCUACAUGUUCAAUCAAGUCUCAUACUUUUAAAUUGAAUACAUAAAUAUUCGAUCAAUUAUUUUUAACAUUGUUUGACUUUUGUGCGUAACUCCAUAGGUUCGAACACUAAGCCGAUAGUAUAGAAACUCCUUCCUAUACUAAUCGAAGUGACCAUCUAGUAAUGAUACUCGACGUCC
rnacentral:lncRNA from 1 species